GUCGGCUAUGGAGACAUGCACCCUGUUACCAUAGGUGGUAAAAUCGUCGGGUCCUUGUGUGCAAUCGCUGGCGUGUUAACCAUAGCCUUGCCUGUCCCGGUCAUCGUGUCUAAU
rfam:Lepisosteus oculatus linkage group LG3, whole genome shotgun sequence.